rnacentral:misc_RNA from 1 species
UAAAGCAAUCAAGCUCUGCUUGGCCUUGGAACCCGCUGUCCUAGCGGUUCCUAAAACCAGUGGCAGUGUCGCCUAGCUCUGAGCGUAGUAAUUCUUCUCGCUAUAGAGCUUAGGUGUCCACCCGCCAGAACCCCCAAUUUUCUUA